rnacentral:lncRNA from 1 species
CUCUAUAAGUCUAUUCAUAUGUAUUUAAUUUCUGUGUCAGUGAUGCCAACGCUUUAACAUUGACCUUGGAAUUUCUUACUUGGUGCUGGAAAAAUCCGCUAGGUGUCGCCAACAAAAACUUAAAUCUGGAGACACCGUACUCGAAAUGAAACUAUUGAAAUCUUCCAGGCUCAGCUAUUUGGCCGGAUACAAAUUACUUCAUUGCGGAUCAAAGAGAUUUGCUCCUGAUUGUUACAAUGAUGAUACAUUAAGGAGAGAAUACAAUCGCAGUAGACAAACCUAAAGUAAGCACACUUAUGUUCUCUGGAUUGUAUACUGACAUACCCAGAGGUAUAUACGAUGGAAUAACAGCUUCCGCACACGAGUUCGCGAACUGAAAUGCCUCCUCCUGAUUUGGCUCAUCGAGAUCAUCGAAAAAUAUUCCCCCGAUACCUCGCCUCUCGCCACGAUGAGGUAUAAAGAAGUAAUCGUCACACCACUUCUUAAACUUUGGAUAAUAUGACUUGUUGUUCACGUCACAGGCUGUCUUGAGCUCCUUGUGAAAGUGGACGGCAUCAGACUCGUUUAGAUAGUAUGGUGUGAGGUCAGUUCCACCACCAAACCACCACUGUAAAAAUAACCUGUUACAUUCGAAAUGGAUCCAAUUUCACACUUUCAUAAUUUGCUCUUACUUCAACUGAUCCAUCAGUAUUUGUCACUUCGAAGUAUCGGUAGUUGAAGUGAAUUGUUGGAACAUAAGGAUUCCGUGGAUGAAUAACGGCGCUAAUUCCAGUAGCAAAGAAUGGAAGAGGACCUCCCUCAGAGAGCUUCUUUCCUCUGUAUAAUGGAUACAUGUUAUGUCUAGGUAUCUUUUCUUCGAUAUCACAGUAGCUGGCAAUAACAAUAACUACCUUGCUCUCAUUUGUUUGAUAGCUUCGGUCGGCAGGCUUCCAUGGACGACUGAAAUAUUAACUCCAGCCUUUUCAAAGACCUGCCCAUCCUCCAGGAUACACGAUACACCUCCACCUCCUUCUUUUCUUAACCAACGAUCAAUUCUGAACUUGGAUCCAUCCUGUUCUUCCGCCUC